UUUCCGGUUGAUCCUGCCGGAGGCCUUUGCUAUUGGGAUUCGAUUUAGCCAUGCUAGUCGCACGAGUUCAGACUCGUGGCGAAUAGCUCAGUAACACGUGGCCAAACUACCCUUCGGACCACCAUACCCUCGGGAAACUGAGGCUAAUAGUGGAUACCACAGUCCACCUGGAAUGAGGACUGUGCCAACCGCUCCGGCGCCGAAGGAUGUGGCUGCGGCCGAUUAGGUAGACGGUGGGGUAACGGCCCACCGUGCCAGUAAUCGGUACGGGUGAUGAGAGUCAGAGCCCGGAGACGGAAUCUGAGACAAGAUUCCGGGCCCUACGGGGCGCAGCAGGCGCGAAACCUUUACACUGCACGCACGUGCGAUAAGGGGACUCCGAGUGCGAGGGCAUAUCGUCCUCGCUUUCGUGUACCGUAGGGUGGUACACCAACAAGGGCUGGGCAAGACCGGUGCCAGCCGCCGCGGUAAUACCGGCAGCCCGAGUGAUGGCCGAUCUUAUUGGGCCUAAAGCGUCCGUAGCUGGCCGCGCAAGUCCGUCGGGAAAUCCACCUGCCCAACAGGUGGGCGUCCGGCGGAAACUGUACGGCUUGGGACCGGAAGGCGCGACGGGUACGUCCGGGGUAGGAGUGAAAUCCCGUAAUCCUGGACGGACCGCCGAUGGCGAAAGCACGUCGCGAGAACGGAUCCGACAGUGAGGGACGAAAGCCAGGGUCUCGAACCGGAUUAGAUACCCGGGUAGUCCUGGCCGUAAACAAUGUCUGCUAGGUGUGGCUCCCACUACGAGUGGGUGCUGUGCCGUAGGGAAGCCGCUAAGCAGACCGCCUGGGAAGUACGUCCGCAAGGAUGAAACUUAAAGGAAUUGGCGGGGGAGCACUACAACCGGAGGAGCCUGCGGUUUAAUUGGAUUCAACGCCGGAA
rnacentral:rRNA from 1 species